rnacentral:rRNA from 1 species
UACGUAGGGACCAAGCGUUGUUCGGAUUUACUGGGCGUAAAGGGCGCGUAGGCGGCUUAACAAGUCACUUGUGAAACCUCCGGGCUUAACUCGGAACGGCCAAGUGAAACUGUCAAGCUAGAGUGCAGAAGGGGCAAUCGGAAUUCUUGGUGUAGCGGUGAAAUGCGUAGAUAUCAAGAGGAACACCUGAGGUGAAGACGGGUUGCUGGGCUGACACUGACGCUGAGGCGCGAAAGCCAGGGGAGCAAACGGG